GUCAGCUCGUGCAGAGGAGGCGGGAAUUUAUGGUUAUUAUGAUUAUCUCAGUUUUCCAGUAUCAUUAAGAUGCAGAAAAGAAAGAGGCAGGAGAAGAUUGACACCUUUUUCAAGAGAAAUCCUGAGAGGACGUUGCUGGAGGCAUUGGUUUCAGAGGCAGCACAGGAAGGUUCAC